GACGAAGGUGGCGAGCGUUGUUCGGAAUCACUGGGCAUAAAGCGCACGUAGGCGUCGACGUACGUUGGGUGUGAAAUCCCUCGGCCCAACCGAGGAACUGCGCCCAGUACUGCGUUGCUUGAGGAUCCAAGGGGUGCAUGGAAUUCCCGGUGGAGCGGUGAAAUGCGUUGAUAUCGGGAGGAACUCCGGCGGCGAAAGCGGUGCACUGGUGGAUUACUGACGCCGAGGUGCGAAAGCCAGGGGAGCAAACGGG
rnacentral:rRNA from 1 species